GGUCAGCGAGUUCCUUGGCCGAAAGGCCCGGGUAAUCUUGUUAGCCCCCGUCGUGCUGGGGAUAGAGCAUUGCAAUUAUUGCUCUUCAACGAGGAAUCCCUAGUAAGCGCAAGUCAUCAGCUUGCGUUGAUUACGUCCCUGCCCUUUGUACACACCGCCCGUCGCUACUACCGAUUGAAUGGCUCAGUGAGGCGUCCGGACUGGCCCAGGGAGGUGGGCAACUACCACCCAGGGCCGGAAAGUUCUCCAAACUCGGUCAUUUAGAGGAAGUAAAAGUCGUAACAAGGUCUCCGUUGGUGAACCAGCGGAGGGAUCAUUACCAGAGUGCCUUUUGGCUCUCCAACCCACUGUGAACAUACCUACGUUUCCCUCGGCGGGCUCAGCGCGCGGCGGUACUCCCGCCUCGCGUCCGCCGGGGGCCCCCAAACUCGAAUUUACUACGUGUAUCUCUGAGGGGCGAAAGCCCGUAAAACAAAAUGAAUCAAAACUUUCAACAACGGAUCUCUUGGCUCUGGCAUCGAUGAAGAACGCAGCGAAAUGCGAUAAGUAAUGUGAAUUGCAGAAUUCAGUGAAUCAUCGAAUCUUUGAACGCACAUUGCGCCCGCCGGCACUCCGGCGGGCAUGCCUGUCCGAGCGUCAUUUCAACCCUCGGGCCCACCCUUCGCGGGGAUCGGGCCCGGCGUUGGGGACCGGAGGCCGCCUCGGCGGCACCCGCCCCCUAAAUUCAGUGGCGGUCGCGCCGCAGCCUCCCCUGCGUAGUAGCACACCUCGCACCGGAGAGCGGCACGGCCACGCCUCGAAACCCCCCAAUUUAUCAAGGUUGACCUCGGAUCAGGUAGGAAUACCCGCUGAACUUAAGCAUAUCAAUAAGCGGAGGAAAAGAAACCAACAGGGAUUGCCUCAGUAACGGCGAGUGAAGCGGCAACAGCUCAAAUUUGAAAUCUGGCCGCAAGGUCCGAGUUGUAAUUUGUAGAGGAUGCUUUUGGCGAGGUGACUUCCGAGUUCCCUGGAACGGGACGCCAUAGAGGGUGAGAGCCCCGUACGGUCGUGCCACCGAGCCUCUGUAAAGCUCCUUCGACGAGUCGAGUAGUUUGGGAAUGCUGCUCUAAAUGGGAGGUGUACGUCUUCUAAAGCUAAAUACCGGCCAGAGACCGAUAGCGCACAAGUAGAGUGAUCGAAAGAUGAAAAGCACUUUGAAAAGAGGGUUAAAAAGUACGUGAAAUUGUUGAAAGGGAAGCAUUCAUGACCAGACUUGGGCUUGGUUGAACAUCCGGCGUUCUCGCCGGUGCACUCUGCCAGCUCAGGCCAGCAUCAGUUUGCCCCGGGGGACAAAGGCGGCGGGAAUGUGGCUCCCUACGGGGAGUGUUAUAGCCCGUCGUGUAAUGCCCUGGGGUGGACUGAGGUUCGCGCUUCGGCACGGAUGCUGGCGUAAUGGUCAUCAAUGACCCGUCUUGAAACACGGACCAAGGAGUCGUCUUCGUAUGCGAGUGUUCGGGUGUCAAACCCCUACGCGUAAUGAAAGUGAACGUAGGUGAGAGCUUCGGCGCAUCACCGACCGAUCCUGAUGUUCUCGGAUGGAUUUGAGUAAGAGCAUACGGGGCCGGACCCGAAAGAAGGUGAACUAUGCCUGUAUAGGGUGAA
rnacentral:rRNA from 1 species